ACGGGAUGGGAAAAAUGCAUGUAGAAAACUUUCCUGCAGUGGCAGUAGUUGAUAUUAGCAAUGGGUAGUGAGGUAUCGAGAUUGGCCAUUUCUUUUUCCUCAUAUCCACACACAAGGCAACCAGGAAUCUCAUUAAAAAAAAAAAAAAAAAAAAAAAAAAAACUCUAAAUUUAUUGUGAAACAAAAUUACUAUAGUUUAACUUUAACCAAAAUAGAAGAUCAGGGUAAUAUGAAGUGGCCCUGCUGAACAGAGCUGCACAUUUCCAGGUUUAAGAUGGUCCUCUUGAGAGGAAAGAUAUGGUUAAAACUUGGUGUACUUGGGCUGGUGACAUGGUGCAGUGGUUAAGAUCACCGACUGCUCUUCCAAAGGUCCUGAGUUAAAAAUUUCCAGCAACCACAUGGUGGCUCACAACCAUCUGUAGAGAAAUCUGAUGCCCUCUUCUGGAGUAUCUGAGGACAGCUACAGUGUACUUACAUAUAAUAAAUAAAUAAAUCUUUAAAAAAAAAAAACUUGGUGUACUCUAAUAUAAAUUGCAAGUUUCUAGGGUCACAAAAUUCGGUUGUGCUAGUUAAAAUCAUUUUUGGCAUAUAAUCCACCAUUCCCUUCUGCUCUCUCAGGCCUCGAAGCCCUCCCAUAGACCAUUCAUUGUUUUUAUUAAUUUACAGCCUGUUUUUGCUUUAGGACCAGUUAUUAUUUGAAUGUGACCUAUGUUUGGCUGCAGGAACUCACACCAUUGAAUCAAAAGGAUGACUACAUGAGACAUUGAGUGUGUGAUGGACUGCACACGUAAGAUCCUCUGCUCAGAACAGAAAGAAAAUGUGCUCUAGGAGAUGUGAAGAACUUGUACAGAGCUAUGCAGUUUCCACAAUAAGACCCUGUCUGCUCCUAGGGUGGAAGGGCAGAGCUGCAAGGCCAUGUGCUAUUUCAGUUAGUUGAUAGCUGCUCAACUAGAGUAGCUGCUACUGUUCUGGGGCCAAGCUGGAUGAGCCUAGCUAGUGAUGCACUUUGGAGAAGUCUAGGAAUCAGGAGCACUAGUGGGAGAUAGCAUCUUUGUUCUUCCCAGUAUUCUACUUGCAAGCAGGUGUAGGGAGCUGUGAGGGAGACCACAAGGCAGUCCACAGUCACAAGGGGUCGGGGGGGGGGGGGGACACUGUCCCCAGAUCAGGAAUAGAAGACUCGCUCAAGUCUCAGAGUCUGAGCCGCUAGAAUAGGAAUAGACAGUGUGCCAUAUUGCAGUUCUGCUGUUAAAUGUGGUGAUCUGGGCAGGAACCCUUAGACUCUCAGUCAUCCUGAGUGUAGAUUCCAGGAGGAGGGUGAAGAUCUGCAUCCCUUGCAGUGGAAAGCUAUGCUGCAUACAAUACCCAUUUAGUGUACACAUGCAGGUACUACUUUUGGUUUGCUCUCUAAUGUCAGUCUGGAAAAAUGAAGGUUUGUUUUGUUUUGUUUUUGUUUAGUUUUUGAGUUCUGAACAUUGCAUUUCACAUUCAGUUUUGUGUGACAAAUUUUCCAAGUAGUUUAGAAAGGUAGAAAGAAGGUAAUGGGCUUUAUCCUUCAUCAAUAUUAGAUUGAUAUAAUUUUAAAUUCUCAUGAGCAACAGACACAAUGUUGUCAUUAACUGAAACUCAACUCUAGGCACAGAAGGAAUUUCUUAGAUGACUAUUCUCAGGUAUGCAUGAUAUUGUGAAGAUGGAAGGAACACAUUCUACAUUUUGUGUCUUAAUCCAUGUGGCAGGAAGCAGACAUUAAAUUAGCUUUCAGCAUAGGUUUCUGUGUGUGUGAGUGGGGCUAGGUUUACCUGAAUCCAAAAUGAGGUGUUAGUGCCUGCAGAACCAUGCAUUGCUCUCUUUUGUGAUCACGUCCAUUUCCAAAAUGAGCUCCAUGUCAUGGUGCUUCUCUAUUUGGAAGGGAAAUCAGUAGUAGAUAGAGGGUGAGAAACAUAACAAUUAAGGGGUUUCUUUUAACUAUUUUGUAUGAAUUAUUGAGUGUAACUACUCAAUUCUUAUACACCUACGAUCGUAGUAAACAUUAGUCAAAUUCACAUUUUGGUUUGGUUUGGUUUGGUUUUUGGUUUUUUGAGACAGGGUUUCUCUGUAUAGCCCUGGCUAUCCUGGAACUCACUUUGUAGACCAGGAUGGCCUCGAACUCAGAAAUCCACCUGCCUCUGCCUCCCAAGUGGAGGAAUUAAAGGCAUGUGCCAUCACCUCGUGGCAUUCAUGUUUUUUUCUAAUGGAAUUUCUUUAUGUAUUUUUUAAAAAUACUGUUUUUUUGUGUUUUUCUUUCUCUGCAGCACCUCAUUUUUUCAUACCUAUUAUACACAUCUUUGAUUGAUGUAGCUUUGAGGUACGGAAGUCAUAUUGUGUCCAUGUGUAUACUCUUUCUUCAUAAUCUUACUGAGAAUUCUGAGUUUUUCCACAUGCCUUAUAAGUUUGCAAUCAACGUUCCUGUGUUAAGAAGUUUCCUUGGAUUGUACUGAAUCAAUGCUCCUAAUUGAUGAUCUCCAACAUUGCCUUUCUUUUCUUUUUUCCUGGAAGUACAUUAUUUUCAUGGUGCGUUUUACUGUAGUAUAAAAUGGUACAAGAUAUUCUAUAUAAUCAUUCAUUUAGCAAACAAUACAAAAUAGGUGAAUCUUAACCUGAUAUAAAAUGAAAAAUGCCACAGAAACUGGACUUCAGCAUAUAGUUAAGUUGUACAGAAUACAUUGUUAUGGUCACUUAAAAGCUAUCCCACUGUGUGCAAUUUUAUUGAGAAAAGAAUAACAACAACAAAAAACUGAAGUGAAACCUGCUCCAGAAUUGAACAGUGAAUCUGAAUGUGACAUGGGAGUUGUGUUAGCAUACAAAAUAACCUCUGGUUGCACUUGGUUGGGAUUUCCACAGAUAUCAACUAAACUUAGUUUUAGCCAUGUUACAUUGUUAUAGUUUAUUUAUGUAAUCGUGAACGUAUUUAGUGUAUGUACUCUGACAUAUUUGGACAUUUUAUGCACACCCAUGUGCCCACAUUACCACAAACAACACAGUUAACCUUGUUCUCCAUACCUUCUCAUUCUAUCCAUUUGUUUCUGUGUCUACAAUAAUCAGACCUUUCAUAAAAUGAGAGCAUUUCUAUGGAUUUUGGCAGUCUUCUCAGUAUAUUUUCCGUGCAUUUGAAACUGGUUGUAAGAAAUAUCAUGUGAUAUGAGAGUUGUCUUGGUUAGGGUUUCAAUUCCUGCAUAAACAUCGUGACCAAGAAACAAUGUGGGGAGGAAAGGGUUUAUUCAGCUUACACUUUCCACAUUGCUGUUGAUCACCAAAGGAAGCCAGGACUGGAACUCUAGCAGGUCAGGAAGCAGGAACUGAUGCAGAGGCCAUGGAGUGAAAUUACUGGCUUGUUUUCUUACAGAAUCCAGGACUAGUAGGCCAGGGAUGGCACCAUAGAGCCUCAUAGAAGCAGGGAAAGAGGGGAUUGGGCGUUUCAGGGAGACGGGGAACCAGGAAAAGAGAUAACAUUUGAAUUGUAAAUAAAGAAAGUGUCCAAUUU
rnacentral:lncRNA from 1 species